GACACGCUGGCGGCGUGCCUAACACAUGCAAGUCGAGCGGGGUGGAGGCGAGAGGUAACUCGAACUUCUACCUAGCGGCGGACGGGUGAGUAACGCGUGGGCAACCUGCCUCAAGGAUCGGGAUAACAGCUCGAAAGGGCUGCUAAUACCGGAUAUGCCUAUGGCCUCGCAUGGGGCUGUGGGCAAAGGGGAAACCCGCCUUGAGAUGGGCCCGCGUCCCAUCAGCUAGUUGGUGAGGUGAAGGCUCACCAAGGCGACGACGGGUAGCCGGCCUGAGAGGGUGAUCGGCCACACUGGGACUGAGACACGGCCCAGACUCCUACGGGGGGCAGCAGUGGGGGAUCUUGCACAAUGGGCGAAAGCCUGAUGCAGCGACGCCGCGUGAGCGAAGAAGGCCUUCGGGUUGUAAAGCUCUGUCUGGAGGGACGAAGAAAGUGACGGUACCUCCGGAGGAAGCCACGGCUAACUACGUG
rnacentral:rRNA from 1 species